UACGUAGGGUGCGAGCGUUUGUCCGGAAUUAUUGGGCGUAAAGGGCUCGUAGGCGGUUUGUCGCGUCGGGAGUGAAAACCCAGGGCUUAACCCUGGGCUGGCUUCCGAUACGGGCAGACUAGAGGUAUGCAGGGGAGAACGGAAUUCCUGGUGUAGCGGUGAAAUGCGCAGAUAUCAGGAGGAACACCGGUGGCGAAGGCGGGUCUCUGGGCCGAUACUGACGCUGAGGAGCGAAAGCGUGGGGAGCGAACAGG
rnacentral:rRNA from 1 species